UAUCCUGUCUGAAUAUGGGGGGACCAUCCUCCAAGGCUAAAUACUCCUGACUGACCGAUAGUGAACCAGUACCGUGAGGGAAAGGCGAAAAGAACCCCGGCGAGGGGAGUGAAAAAGAACCUGAAACCGUGUACGUACAAGCAGUGGGAGCCCCACCACUAAGCCAGUGGUGAACUCCACAUACGCAUCCUUUGCUGAGGAUACGGUUAACGGAGCGAAAGCGACGUUCAACCGCAAAAGAAGCAGAGGGGGCUUAGUGGUGGGGUGACUGCGUACCUUUUGUAUAAUGGGUCAGCGACUUAUAUUCUGUAGCAAGGUUAACCGCAUAGGGGAGCCGGAGGGAAACCGAGUCUUAACCGGGCGUUAAGUUGCAGGGUAUAGACCCGAAACCCGGUGAUCUAGCCAUGGGCAGGUUGAAGGUUGGGUAACACUAACUGGAGGACCGAACCGACUAAUGUUGAAAAAUUAGCGGAUGACCUGUGGCUGGGGG
rnacentral:rRNA from 1 species